UCUAUCACAUGCAUGAUGUCCAGGUUCAUGACUAGAAUCAUGGCAACAUGGCACGGGGUCAAUUUCUGCGCAAUUUCAAUCCUGAUAUAUGUUCAUGGUGUAUCUUGAUCUUGCGGUACACAAAUGCAGAGGGAGUUGUACCCCGUGGGCAUGGAGUAGUAAGGGAAGAACAUGCAAGCUACUCCCUGAGGGUUCAUAUUGGUUCAUGAAACCAUAUGUCAUGAGUUUGUGUUGUGUCAUGGGGGUAAAAGAAUUCAGCUCCACUGUUGUGUUCUCCCAAGAAAGAAGAGUUACAUUGUUGUUGUACAAGUCAUUAGGAUCUGUAUGCAAAAUCACUUGAGGUGGCUAUUUUAUUUCUAGGUAAUUUGUUAGAUCUUCCCAGCGAUGCAGUUGUGCAAUGCAACCACAUCAGAUUUUACUUCAUUUUUUUAGUAGAAAACAUACCAAGGUGUUAGUGUCCAGCAUGGUAUUUUGAAAAGUGUCAGGAGUCAGACUAGGUUUGUAUUUCGCAUUUUUUUUACAGUGUUAUCCAAGUGGUUGUAUUCGGCCUAAUAAAGUUUAUUUUCCAUUCUACCUA